UAUAACACCAUCAUCCUCUGCAAUUCGAUGAAUAACAUCGGCAACAUUGUGAAAAUGAAGAAAAAGCGCCGUGGCAAGGUUAAGAAAGCUAGGUCAUCCAGAAAAUCACAGCAAGAUGAAGCUAUAUACACAAUGUAAGUGUAUUAUAUAUGGUGGUCGUUUCAAACACAUCUUCGUCUUUAUCUACACCAGUAAUACACACAAGAGCUACACUAAUAUCAACCUAGAGGAAUUAAGUAGUGUUGAAGUUUUGAAGAGCACGGAAGGAAGUUGAUCGGAGACGAGGCAAUUUGGGUCUGGAGUCAAAUUAAAAAAGAGUCAAACUUUUAAGUGAAAAUUUUAAAUAGCUAGGAUUUAAUUAAUAAAUAAGUUGCAAG